GGAGGGUGUAAGCGUUAUUCGGAAUUAUUGGGCGUAAAGAGCGCGUAGGCGGUCUUUUAAGUCAGAUGUGAAAGCCCGAGGCUUAACCUCGGAAGUGCAUUUGAAACUAAGAGACUUGAGUAUGGGAGAGGGAAGUGGAAUUCCUGGUGUAGAGGUGAAAUUCGUAGAUAUCAGGAGGAACACCGGUGGCGAAGGCGACUUCCUGGACCAAUACUGACGCUGAGGCGCGAAGGCGUGGGGAGCAAACAGGAUUAGAUACCCUGGUAGUCCACGCAGUAAACGGUGAACACUAGGUGUAGCGGGUAUUGACCCCCCUGCUGUGCCGGAGUUAACGCAUUAAGUGUUCCGCCUGGGGAGUACGACCGCAAGGUUA
rnacentral:rRNA from 1 species